ensembl:lncRNA
CUCAAAUUCUGUCAUUCUAGUCAGAAGGCUGGUAACUCUGGUCCUAUCCUGAGAGUUUUCAAAUGAGAUAUAAAGAAGAAAAGCAGUCUUUUUCACAAUGAAGAGAUGAGACAUCAAAAGUCAGGUUCUUCAGAACAGAAGGUUGCCGUGUCUAGUAAGAGAAAGCUGACUCAGAGGAGCAGAAAUGAGAGCUGGCUGGAGAGAGUUUAGUGAUGUCUCUGUUCCUGUGAUCCUGGAAGUCCAGCUGAAUCCACGCCCUUCCUGAGAUUUUCCUGCUCAGAUCACUUACUCUCAGGGAAGUCAGAAAUCAUGUCAUUUCAUGAGGACGCUUAAGCAACCCUAAGGACACAUUCAUGGACCUUAUUUCCUUGACCAGAGAUUGAACCCAUAAUCACUGCGGUAGAAGCACAGAAUCCU